UACGUAGGGCGCAAGCGUUGUCCGGAAUUAUUGGGCGUAAAGAGCUCGUAGGCGGCUUGUCACGUCGGGUGUGAAAGCCCGGGGCUUAACCCCGGGUCUGCAUUCGAUACGGGCAGGCUAGAGUGUGGUAGGGGAGAUCGGAAUUCCUGGUGUAGCGGUGAAAUGCGCAGAUAUCGGGAAGAACACCCGUGGCGAAGGCGGCACUCUGGGACGGUACUGACGCUGAGACGCGAAAGCGUGGGGAGCAAACAGG
rnacentral:rRNA from 1 species